UACGGAGGGUGCAAGCGUUAUCCGGAUUCACUGGGCUUAAAGGGUGCGUAGGCGGGUCUGUAAGUCAGUUGUGAAAUCUCCGAGCUUAACUCGGAAACUGCCAUUGAUACUAUAGGUCUUGAAUUAUCUGGAGGUGAGCGGAAUAUGUCAUGUAGCGGUGAAAUGCUUAGAUAUGACAUAGAACACCAAUUGCGAAGGCAGCUCACUACGGAUAUAUUGACACUGAGGCACGAAAGCGUGGGGAUCAAACAGG
rnacentral:rRNA from 1 species